UACGUAGGGACCGAGCGUUGUCCGGAUUCAUUGGGCGUAAAGAGCUCGUAGGCGGCUGUUCAAGUCGAACGUGAAAACUCGGAGCUCAACUCCGAGCCUGCGUUCGAUACUGGAUGGCUAGAGUCUGGUAGGGGGAUCUGGAAUUCCUGGUGUAGCGGUGGAAUGCGCAGAUAUCAGGAAGAACACCUAUGGCGAAGGCAGCACUCUGGGACGGUACUGACGCUGAGACGCGAAAGCGUGGGGAGCGAACAGG
rnacentral:rRNA from 1 species